UACCAGCACCCCGAGUGGUCGGGACGUUUUAUUGGGCCUAAAGCAUCCGUAGCCGGUUCUACAAGUCUUCCGUUAAAUCCACCUGCUUAACAGAUGGGCUGCGGAAGAUACUAUAGAGCUAGGAGGCGGGAGAGGCAAGCGGUACUCGAUGGGUAGGGGUAAAAUCCGUUGAUCCAUUGAAGACCACCAGUGGCGAAGGCGGCUUGCCAGAACGCGCUCGACGGUGAGGGAUGAAAAGCUGGGGGAGCAAACCGGG
rnacentral:rRNA from 1 species